CACGCAUCCUGCACACACAAACACGCACCCUACAGCUACACGAGCACCCUACACACACGCACCCUACAGCUACACGAGCACCCUGCACACACGCACCCUACAGCUACACGAGCACCCUACACACACGCACCCUACAGCUACAUGUGCAGCCUAUACACAUGCGCACACACCCUACACAUCAUAUGCAUGCACACUACACGCAUGCACACACUCCAAAUGCGUACCCUAUGCACACCCAACAUGCGCACACACCUUACAGAGAUUGGCUUGCUUACUGCACAAAUGGCAAAGAAGGGCGAACAGAUAUGACACCAAGUAAUGUGGCCUCAGCAUAGAACUAACAGCACUGAGGUGGACAGUGGGAAUAAAAAAAUAAAAAAAACGUUCAGUGGGUGACCAUACAGAGAGAGAGCCAACACCUGAAACAUUACUCAUUGCUGUGUAAGUUGGGAUAAAGUGCUUUGCCCAAGACACAAGAAGCUCUGUAUUAAAGCCCAUAGUCCUUUGAUGAAAUGCAAAACAUGUAUACUGUCUCCACAGUAGUUUUGUUUUGCACAGUUAACUACACAAUGCAGUCGAUUAGUUCCCAUAAAACAUUGUUGAUUUAGCCAUCAGUAUUACGUUUUGUGUGUGUGCAAGAUGCACAGUGCAGGCUCGCAAAGUAUAUGCAGUUUAAACAUUUUAUUAGAUCUUUUUUUUUCUUUCUUAAAGUGGAUUCCUGAAGUUGACCUGUAUGUACUUUUUGUGAUUUUUAUGUGUUGAAAGUCUCAAGCCUUUAAAAUGAGUGCAACUAAUUAAAUUAAUUUGGCAAAAAAGUC